rnacentral:rRNA from 1 species
ACGGGUCAGCCGGCGCACGGCACGCGCGGCUGCGGGUCGCGUGCGGCCUCCGCAGACGCCGCGCCCCCGUGAAAAGGCAGCCGCGGCGGCAGGACGACCGUACCGAUAACCGCGACAGGUCUCCUAGGUGAGUAGCCUCUGGUGCAUGUUGAACGCAGGUAAGGGAAUUCGGCAAAACAGAUGCGUAACUUCGGGAGAAGUAUUGGUUCUUACGGAACUCUUGGUGGCGCGGGGAAUCUGACUGUUUAAUAAAAACAUAGCUUCGUGAAGGAGAGACGAAGUGAGUUCUGCCCGGUGCUCGAACAGUGAAAUGACGGAAAUAGCUGUAAGCACGGGUUAACGGCGGGAGUAACUAUGACUCUCUUAAGGUAGCCAAACGCCUCGUCACUUAAAUGGUGACGCGCAUGAAUGGAAUGACGCGAUUCCCACUGUCCCUAUCUGCAGACUAGCGAAACCACGGGCCAGGGGAACGGGCCUGGCACAGUCAGCGGGGAAAGAAGACCCUGUUGAGCUUGACUCUAGUGUGGCAGCGCGGCGGGGACAGUUGCGAUGUAGGCAGGUGGGAGCGCAAGCACAAGUGAAAGACCACUGCGCAACAGUCCCCGUGGCACACCCUUGCGGGGAUGGAUGCCAGAUGGGGAGUUUGGCUGGGGCGGCACGGCUGCAGGACCAGAACGCAGCCGUCCGAAGGCACUUGCAGCGAGACGAGAACACCCGCGUGGAGCAUAAGGGCUUUAGAGUGCUUGAGCACGGGCUGCGCGGCCCGUGUGCGGGGAAACCUCGGCCUAGUGAUCCCACGGCCGCGAGACGGAUUGCGACGUGGGUGACAGAAAAGUUACCGCAGGGAUAACUGGCUUGUGGCACCCGAGCGCAGAAAGCGACGGUGCUUUUUGAUUCUUCGAUGUCGGCUCUUCCUAUCAUGGCCAUGCAGGAGUGGCGAAGUGUUGGAUUGUUCACCCACAAACAGGGAACGUGAGCUGGGUUUAGACCGUCGUGAGACAGGUUAGUUUUAUCCUACUGACUGCGCGCGAGGGGAGAGGGUAGUAGUACGAAAGGAAGGCCCCUCGAGACCACUGGCGGAGCGGUUGUGCGGAUGCGCAUGCUGCGGUGCUAAGUCUCCCUGAGCAUAGCUGAAGGCCUCUAAGCUAGAAGCGGGUCCCGAGCGUGGAAGGCGGGCGCGAAGACGACGCGCAGUGGAUGAUGGAGUUGUGCGGCAUGAGCAGCGGAGCAAUCCAGCGAGUGCUUGAGACUCCAGGCAUCCCACCGCCGCUACCUGUUGCAUAUUAUAUUUGUUAACUGUUGU